GCGGGGGUAGCUUAAGCAGAGCACAACCCUCCAAGGUUGCGGUAUGAGUUCAAGUCUCAUUCCCCGCUCCA
rnacentral:tRNA from 1 species